rnacentral:rRNA from 1 species
UACGGUGGCGACAGCGAAAAGGCCCCACCCGUUCCCAUGCCGAACACGGAAGUUAAGCUUUUCAGCGCCAAUGAUAAUUGGGGGGCGACCCCCUGUGAAAGUAGGACGCUGCCGUGC